rnacentral:sRNA from 1 species
CUGUUGCGUCAUUUCGCGCGCUCCUUUUCGGGUCCGAUUUUGGCCUCAAGAAAUUCGUCAAAUGCACUGAGGAUACGGUCGAUGUCGCUGUGGACCAUUGGCGUCGAAAGACAGGCGGCGGCU